rnacentral:lncRNA from 1 species
UACAUAAAAGAUUUAAGCUACCUAACUUUCAUUUACAUAUGUAUAUAUACCGACGAAAGUUUUAUUUCCGACAGCAUUUCGCAAAUGAUAAAAUGAAUUUUUCAAGAGCCAAAGCAUGCGCUACAUCAGCUCGAACCUACCUACCCUACGCCUUUACGCUAAUGAUUCUAUCAUGCUAGCAAAUGCCCACAUACAGAUUUGGCAAUGGUAGUAGCAAUUCGUUGGACAGCUAGUAUUCUAUAAAUUCUAUCCUAUCGAGAUGCCCCGUAACGGAUAUCAGUACCUCUACUUUUAAAGCAAAGUACCAUUGCAUUUUUUUUGUCAUUUUUAUAAUUAUUUCAUUUUUGUAAAAUAAGCUGUGUGCACCGAAGAUAAUUUUUACAUAUUAAAAUUAAAUCAAUUAUUUUGGAGAAAAUGGCAAAUAAUUCAUCAGAUCUGCAAGAACAAUCGACUAGCCGUGUUCGUAGAACGAACAAAUUGAACGUGUCGGAGGUGAAGGGAAUGUGGAAUAUUGCCAAAAUAUUCCACACAUUCCAAUCGAGGGAGAGCUGCAUAGCUUUUUGCAAAGAGGAGGAUCUCAUUGCUAAAAAAAAGAAUUGUAGGGUGCAUAGACUGCCGAUGGUGCCCUCCGUCAUUGGAAAUAGCACCGUCGAUACGUUUAGGUGCCGCAAGGGAUCUAGCCGAACGCGUUCAGCGAUAUCUCGCUCCAUGGGCACUUGGUUGGAUGAUGUGAGAAUACCUUUGCCCCAAGUUUUUUAUUUAAUGUUUUGUUACGUAUCGCACUGGUCGCACGAGAUAGUCAGGAGAAACAGCAUUGUCAGGAACCUAUGUAUAUUAUCUAGCGCUACCGUGGAACAUUAGGAGGCGUUGGUAAAAUUGGUGGAUCUGGCCAAAACGAGCAAAUUGAUGAAUGUAAAUUCGGAAAGAGAAAAUUUAAUAAAGGCAGGAGGGUGGAAGGUCACUGGGUGUUGGGGAUGGUUGAGGCCAGGAACAAUAAUAAGCACGGAAUGAUGGAAGGCGUACGAUGGUUUGACGAAUCACGGGUAUGAACACAGAAGAGUAAAUCAUGGCGAUCCGGACAUUCCAUUUGUGGCGGUAGAUGAAACACAUACGCAGCGAAUAGAAUCCCAGUGGCGUGUCAUUAAAAGAUUUUUUGCGAGGGACAACUACAAAUAUCCUGAAAACUUCGAGGAAUUAAUUUUGGAAUAUGUGGCCAAUAGACACGAAGACCUGUUUGUAAAGUUAAUAAAGGCAAUAAAAUUUAUAUACAAGCUUUAA